GACAGAGGGUGCAAACGUUGUUCGGAAUUACUGGGCGUAAAGCGCGUGUAGGCUGUUCAGAAAGUCGGAUGUGAAAGCCCUGGGCUUAACCUAGGAAGUGCAUUCGAAACUUCUGAGCUUGAGUUCUGGAGAGGAAGGCGGAAUUCUCGGUGUAGAGGUGAAAUUCGUAGAUAUCGAGAGGAACACCGGUGGCGAAGGCGGCCUUCUGGACAGUGACUGACGCUGAGACGCGAAAGCGUGGGGAGCAAACAGG
rnacentral:rRNA from 1 species